rnacentral:rRNA from 1 species
AUGGCCAUUAAUGAACAGAUCGAGCUGCUGUCGAGGUUGAACCACCGCCACAUGGUUCUGCUGCUGGGGAGUGCCUGGACGACCUCAACAAGAAACCCCAUGGACAGGGCGACGCGCGUCGGCGUGGCGCUGGGCGCGGCGAGGGGCCUCGAGUACCUCCACGAGGCCGCGGCGCCGCGCAUUCUCCACCGGGACAUCAAGUCCACCAACAUCCUGCUUGACGACAGGUUCAGGGCCAGGAUCACGGACCUGGGCAUGACCAAUUGCCUGAUGAACGACAGCGUGACCAGCUGCUCCAGCUCGCCGGCGCGCAUGCUGGGCACCUUCGGGUACUUCGCCCCCGAGUACGCCAUCGUCGGCAAGGCGUCGCUCAAGUCCGUCGUGUUCAGCUUUGACGUGGUGGUGCUGGAGCUCAUCACCGGCCGGCAGCCGGCGCACAAGAGGAGCAGCGACGGCGGCGCGGACGAGAGCCUCGUGAUGUGGGCGACGUCGCGGCUGCGGGACAGCAGGCUGGUGGUGGCGGAGCUGCCGGACUCGGCGCUCAAGGGCGCGUUCCAGCCGGAGGAGAUGCAGAUCAUGGCGCACCAGGCUAGGGAGUGCCUGCAGUGGGACCCCGAGGCCAGGCCCACCAUGACCGAGGUCGUCCAGAUCCUCUCCACCAUCGCAACCCUCGCGGAUAAGUGCCGUCGCCACCGGCACCUUCGCCCCGGGCUUCCGUGCCGAGAGGCCACAGGAAUGCUCAGGGUGGCAGGACGGCGACGACGGCCGUCGCCGUGUUCACCUGCACACAGAGGGAACGGUAGCAAUGCAAAGGGCACCAUCUUGUCGGGCAAGGUCGCGGUUAACAUCGGCACACCGGCGGCGAUGGGCCGGAGCUGGGCGGUCGGCGGAGCAGGAGGCGGUGGACCUGACGGAGCUGCGGUUGGAGACGUUCACGCAGCCAACAACGACGGCGAGCCUCUUCAGGUGAACGUGAGAUCGAUCGAAUACGUCGUAGAAGAGAUAGAUAGAAUAGUGAAGUAG